rnacentral:rRNA from 1 species
CCUACGGGUGGCAGCAGUGAGGAAUAUUGGUCAAUGGCCGGAAGGCUGAACCAGCCAAGCCGCGUGAAGGACGAAGGUGCCAAGCAUUGUAAACUUCUUUUGUCAAGGGACACAAUCAGGCUCGAGAGCCUGACCGAGGGUACUUGAAGAAAAAGCAUCGGCUAACUCCGUGCCAGCAGCCGCGGUAAUACGGAGGAUGCGAGCGUUCUCCGGUUUUAUUGGGUUUAAGGGUGUCGUAGGCGUGCUGUUACGUCAGCGGUAAAAGCCCGGGGUACAACCCCGGCGAGCCGUUGAAACGGGCUGUCUUGAGAUGGCGAGAGGUAUGCGGAAUGCGCAGUGUAGCGGUGAAAUGCUUAGAUAUUGCGCAGAACUCCGAUUGCGAAGGCAGCAUACCGGCGGCGAUCUGACGCUGAGGCACGAAAGCGUGGGUAUCGAACAGGAUUAGAUACCCGUGUAGUC